GACGAACGCUGGCGGCGUGCCUAAUACAUGCAAGUAGAACGCUGAAGAGAGGAGCUUGCUCUUCUUGGAUGAGUUGCGAACGGGUGAGUAACGCGUAGGUAACCUGCCUGGUAGCGGGGGAUAACUAUUGGAAACGAUAGCUAAUACCGCAUGAAAUUGAUUAUUGCAUGAUAAUUAAUUGAAAGAUGCAAUUGCAUCACUACCAGAUGGACCUGCGUUGUAUUAGCUAGUUGGUGAGGUAACGGCUCACCAAGGCGACGAUACAUAGCCGACCUGAGAGGGUGAUCGGCCACACUGGGACUGAGACACGGCCCAGACUCCUACGGGAGGCAGCAGUAGGGAAUCUUCGGCAAUGGGGGGAACCCUGACCGAGCAACGCCGCGUGAGUGAAGAAGGUUUUCGGAUCGUAAAGCUCUGUUGUAAGAGAAGAACGGGUGUGAGAGUGGAAAGUUCACACUGUGACGGUAUCUUACCAGAAAGGGACGGCUAACUACGUGCCAGCAGCCGCGGUAAUACGUAGGUCCCGAGCGUUGUCCGGAUUUAUUGGGCGUAAAGCGAGCGCAGGCGGUUAGAUAAGUCUGAAGUUAAAGGCUGUGGCUUAACCAUAGUAUGCUUUGGAAACUGUUUAACUUGAGUGCAGAAGGGGAGAGUGGAAUUCCAUGUGUAGCGGUGAAAUGCGUAGAUAUAUGGAGGAACACCGGUGGCGAAAGCGGCUCUCUGGUCUGUAACUGACGCUGAGGCUCGAAAGCGUGGGGAGCGAACAGGAUUAGAUACCCUGGUAGUCCACGCCGUAAACGAUGAGUGCUAGGUGUUAGGCCCUUUCCGGGGCUUAGUGCCGCAGCUAACGCAUUAAGCACUCCGCCUGGGGAGUACGACCGCAAGGUUGAAACUCAAAGGAAUUGACGGGGGCCCGCACAAGCGGUGGAGCAUGUGGUUUAAUUCGAAGCAACGCGAAGAACCUUACCAGGUCUUGACAUCCCUCUGACCGCUCUAGAGAUAGAGUUUUCCUUCGGGACAGAGGUGACAGGUGGUGCAUGGUUGUCGUCAGCUCGUGUCGUGAGAUGUUGGGUUAAGUCCCGCAACGAGCGCAACCCCUAUUGUUAGUUGCCAUCAUUCAGUUGGGCACUCUAGCGAGACUGCCGGUAAUAAACCGGAGGAAGGUGGGGAUGACGUCAAAUCAUCAUGCCCCUUAUGACCUGGGCUACACACGUGCUACAAUGGCUGGUACAACGAGUCGCAAGCCGGUGACGGCAAGCUAAUCUCUGAAAGCCAGUCUCAGUUCGGAUUGUAGGCUGCAACUCGCCUACAUGAAGUCGGAAUCGCUAGUAAUCGCGGAUCAGCACGCCGCGGUGAAUACGUUCCCGGGCCC
rnacentral:rRNA from 1 species